GACGAACGCUGGCGGCAUGCUUAACACAUGCAAGUCGAACGCUGAAGCUCAGCUUUUGUUGGGUGGAUGAGUGGCGAACGGGUGAGUAACACGUGAGUAACCUGCCUCCUUCUUUGGGAUAACGCCCGGAAACGGGUGCUAAUACUGGAUAUUCACUGGUCUUCGCAUGGGGGUUGGUGGAAAGGGUUUUUCUGGUGGGGGAUGGGCUCGCGGCCUAUCAGCUUGUUGGUGGGGUGAUGGCCUACCAAGGCUUUGACGGGUAGCCGGCCUGAGAGGGUGACCGGUCACAUUGGGACUGAGAUACGGCCCAGACUCCUACGGGAGGCAGCAGUGGGGAAUAUUGCACAAUGGGCGCAAGCCUGAUGCAGCGACGCCGCGUGAGGGAUGGAGGCCUUCGGGUUGUGAACCUCUUUCGCUCAUGGUCAAGCCGCAACAAUGGUUGUGGUGAGGGUAGUGGGUAAAGAAGCGCCGGCUAACUACGUG
rnacentral:rRNA from 1 species